UUGGAGCAUUUAAAACUUCUAAAUCAAACCUUGAAAUAAUACCUUAAAAGAUAAAAUUAUGAAAUUUUUUAAGAAAUAUUUAUAAAUUACAUUACAAUAAGUAUAUUUAUAUAUUAAAUAUAUCUAAAAUUGCUAUAUAUGUAAUGUCGGAUUGUUUGGUUUCGGUUUGACUUUAUUUAGUUAAAACCAAACCAAAUUAAUUAUGGUCGGGUUUUUUUUCCCAACACCAAACCAAGUCAAACCAAAUCAUAGUCGGGUUAUUUCUCGAUUUAACUCAGAUUAUCGGGUUAGUGCAAUUUAUCGGUUUUUUUUGUACGUGGCUAACCCUUGCAACUAACAGUUACUCCACAUAAGCGCAAAGCGUAUUAAGAAAAAUACUUUUUGGCUGAAUUGGAUCUCCACGUGAGAUAAUUAUCUUCUCCAACCUAAAGAGAACCAUGGCCAAAAACCUAAAAGUUUGCACCAGGAAGAAAACCAUCUAUAACAACAAAGAGUUAAAUCUACCUUUUCACUACCUGGAUAUUCAUUGAAACUGUCAAAAUUCUAAUAAUCCAAAAGGUGACUUUAAGUUAGAAAUUCAUGUGAAGUUCAAAUUAAAUCGUGAAAUGCGUAUCUAAUUAAUUCUUUAUCUGCAAAACUAAAACAUAAAGUAUCAAACAACAAGAUGACCAUUUAACAGACCAAAUUCAAUAUGUAGGUAUAGAAGAAAAACAAAGAAAUAAAACCCACAACUAUAAGAUAGCUCAACCAUUGAAAAAAGGGGACCUUUCGUCAUCAAUAGGCCACAGAAUAACAAAUGAGCCACCCUCCAAACCCAUUUUCAAAAUCGUAAAUUUCUUCCUUAGAAAAGCUUCAGAUCUAGCUAGCAAUAUCGCCCUCAGAAUAAACUCUGAUUGGAGAACCUUUAGAUAUGGCAGACUAGGCUUUUCUAGCGCGAUCAUUUUUUUCGGCUAGGUUACUUGCCCUUUUACUGAUAUAAAAAUCAAGUUGUUCAUUGAAAUACUCGUAGUAAAACAGCGAUCAAUUUACCGCGAAAAGCAGCUCCAAUGGGAGCAAAUGUUGGUGGCUAAAUUUUUACUUUUAUCUCAUCUUCUCUUCCUCUGCUUCUAUAUAAUGGGCUGGAAUAACCGGUAAGGAGAAGAAGAUGGAGGUCUACUAGUUGCAGAUCUUCUUCUACACGAUGGUUGAGUCAAUUGUUUUCAAGGAAAAAGGC
rnacentral:lncRNA from 1 species